AAGGUCUGACCUGCCCACUGAAGUAUUUAAAGGGCCGCAGUAUUCUAACUGUGCAAAGGUAGCAUAAUCAUUAGUCUUUUAAUUGGAGGCUGGUAUGAACGGUUGGACGAGGUAUAAGCUGUUUCAUAUAAAUUUAUAAUAGAAUUUUAUAUUUUAGUUAAAAAGCUAAAAUGAUAUUAAAAGACGAGAAGACCCUAUAAAUCUUUAUACUUUACUUUAUUUAAGUUUUGUGGAUUUAUUUUACUUUUAUAGUGAGGGGUAUUUUAUUGGGGUGAUAUUAAAAUUUAAUUAACUUUUAAUUGUUAUGAAAUCAUUGAUUUAUGGUUUAUUGAUCCGUUAUUGGCGAUUAUGARAUUAAGUUACUUUAGGGAUAACAGCGUAAUUUUUUUGGAGAGUUCUUAUCGAUAAAAGAGUUUGCGACCUCGAUGUUGGAUUAAGAGAUAUUUUUAGGUGUAGCCGCUUAAAU
rnacentral:rRNA from 1 species